GACGCUGGCGGCGUGCUUAACACAUGCAAGUCGAACGAUGAAGCCUAGCUUGCUAGGUGGAUUAGUGGCGCACGGGUGAGUAAUAUAUAGAUAACGUGCCUCUUAGUCUGGGAUAGCCAUUGGAAACGAUGAUUAAUACUAGAUACUCCUUCUCUAUCAAAUUAGAGUCGGGAAAGUUUUUCGCUAAGAGAUCGGUCUAUAUCCCAUCAGCUAGUUGGUAGUGUAAGAGACUACCAAGGCAAUGACGGGUAGCGGGUUUGAGAGGAUGAUCCGCCACACUGGUACUGAGACACGGACCAGACUCCUACGGGAGGCAGCAGUGAGGAAUAUUGCACAAUGGAGGAAACUCUGAUGCAGCAACGCCGCGUGGAGGAUGACGCAUUUCGGUGUGUAAACUCCUUUUAUAUGUCAAGAAAAUGACGGUAGCAUAUGAAUAAGCACCGGCUAACUCCGUGCCAGCAGCCGCGGUAAUACGGAGGGUGCAAGCGUUAUUCGGAAUCACUGGGCGUAAAGGACGCGUAGGCGGGAUGCCAAGUCUGAUGUGAAAUCCUAUGGCUUAACCAUAGAACUGCAUUGGAAACUGGUAACCUAGAGUAUGGGAGGGGGAGAUGGAAUUAGUGGUGUAGGGGUAAAAUCCGUAGAUAUCACUAGGAAUACCGAAAGCGAAGGCGAUCUCCUGGAACAAUACUGACGCUAAGGCGUGAAAGCGUGGGGAGCAAACGGGAUUAGAUACCCCGGUAGUCCACGCCCUAAACGAUGUUCACUAGUCGUCGGGAUGCUAGUCAUCUCGGUGAUGCACUUAACAGAUUAAGUGAACCGCCUGGGGAGUACG
rnacentral:rRNA from 1 species